UCCGGUUUGUCACCGGCAGUCUCAUUAGAGUGCCCUUGCGUAGCAACUAGUGAUAAGGGUUGCGCUCGUUGCGGGACUUAACCCAACAUCUCACGACACGAGCUGACGACAGCCAUGCAGCACCUGUCUCUGGGUUCCUUGCGGCACCCCCGAAUCUCUUCAGGGUUCCCAGGAUGUCAAGGCCAGGUAAGGUUCUUCGCGUUGCAUCGAAUUAAACCACAUACUCCACCGCUUGUGCGGGCCCCCGUCAAUUCCUUUGAGUUUCAGCCUUGCGGCCGUACUCCCCAGGCGGGGUGCUUAACGCGUGAGCUGCGGCACCGAAGGGGUCGCUCCCCCCGGCAUCUAGCACCCAUCGUUUACGGCGUGGACUAC
rnacentral:misc_RNA from 1 species